UACUUUCUGUUUUCAAAUCGAUCAAGAGCUUCGUAGAGCUUGGGUAUAUUUUGAAAUGAAUUUCAACCGAAUGGAUUCGACACAUCGCCUGCUGGUCGAUGCAAAGCUUUUCGGAUUCCCGAUUCAAGGAUCCGAUUCGCCCACCUCCACCGCAGCGGCGCGUCUAUCUAAGACACCUGUACCCGGUGAAGUUUCCGAAGAUGGACUUCCGAAUGAAAUUUCCGCACCAUAUGAGGUACCACAAUUCCCUAUCGAACAAAUUGAGAAGAAAUUACAAAUACAGCGGCAAUUAAAUGAGGCAAUACCCUCGAGAUCUGAUAAGCAUCAAUCAGUACUAACUGAAGAGAGUUUAAUGACAUUGGACAACUACGACGCAGAGGAACAUGAAUUGCCCAAUUUUCAACGUGUUUCCAUCUCUGGUGAGGAUACAAGUGGCGUGCCAUUGGAAGAUUUAGAACGCGCCUCCACGCUGCUCAUACAAGCGCUGGAAUUACGCGAACGUUAUAUGUUGCAUUCGGGCCAGUCGUUCCCGACAACAACGAGACGUUUUCUAAAAACCGUGCACGAGCGCAAUCGUUUCGGCACGAUCGAACACGAGAAUCGCAAGACCAUUGCAGACAUAAUACGCAAGAUCAGCCUCCCCAGUACUCAGACAGACCAUCCCAUACAUCCGCCAAAUGACAAGUCUGACCCAUGGGAAUUGGAAUUUCCAGCUGAUAAUGAUUAUGAAAUUAAAAGUAUUAACGGUGUCUUCCACGUCUACAAGGAUAAGGAAUGCACGCAGGAGGUGAAAUGCGAAUAUCCAAAUCUCAAGGAGUUCGUUAACGACAUGCAAGUCAUGUGUAAUAUGAUUGUUGAUGGACCACUUAAAUCGUUUUGUUAUCGCCGCCUUUGCUAUCUCUCAUCGAAAUUCCAGUUGCAUGUCCUUUUAAAUGAGCUACGUGAGUUGGCUUCCCAGAAGGCGGUGCCACAUCGUGAUUUCUAUAAUAUUAGAAAGGUGGACACUCACAUACACGCCGCUUCAUGCAUGAAUCAGAAACACUUGCUGCGUUUCAUUAAGAAGACGCUCAAAAAUAACGCCGAUGAAAUUGUGACAAUCACCAAAGGUCAGCCAAUGUCACUGAAAGAUGUUUUCCAGUCAAUGAAUCUGACCACCUAUGAUCUAACUGUGGAUAUGUUGGAUGUGCACGCGGACCGGAACACAUUCCAUCGUUUCGACAAAUUCAAUUCCAAAUACAAUCCGAUCGGUGAGUCGCGUUUGCGCGAGGUCUUCCUCAAGACGGACAACUAUUCGAAUGGCAAAUAUUUUGCACAAAUUAUUAAGGAAGUCGCCUUCGAUUUGGAGGAAUCGAAAUACCAAAAUACCGAGCUACGUCUCUCCAUUUAUGGCAAAUCACCGGAUGAGUGGAAGAAACUAGCCAGAUGGGCCAUCGAAUACAAUGUGCAUUCGACAAAUGUACGCUGGUUGAUACAGAUUCCACGACUUUACGAUAUCUUCAAAUCCAAUAAUUUGAUGAAUUCAUUCCAAAAUAUAUUGGACAACAUCUUUAAGCCACUCUUCGAGGCUACAAGCCGACCCAGCGAGCAUCCGGACUUACAUCGUUUUCUUAAUUAUGUAAUCGGUUUCGAUUCAGUGGACGAUGAAUCGAAGCCGGAGAAUCCAAUUAUUGAUUUGGACAUACCAACACCGGAAGCGUGGAGUGAGGAGGAGAAUCCACCAUAUGCCUACUACAUUUACUAUAUGUACGCGAAUAUGACUGUGCUGAACCAAUACCGAAAAGCGCGCGGCAUGAAUACAUUCGUUUUGCGUCCGCAUUGCGGUGAGGCCGGUCCGGUGCAGCAUUUAGUUUGUGGCUACCUAAUGGCUGAGAACAUCUCUCACGGUCUCCUCUUGCGUAAAGUGCCUGUGCUGCAGUAUCUCUUUUAUCUGACACAAAUCGGCAUUGCCAUGUCGCCACUCUCCAAUAAUUCACUCUUCCUCAACUACCAUCGCAAUCCGCUCCCAGAGUAUUUGGCGCGCGGUCUGAUUGUCUCACUUUCCACCGAUGAUCCACUGCAAUUCCACUUCACAAAGGAACCCCUGAUGGAGGAGUACAGCAUUGCGGCGCAAGUGUGGAAGUUGAGCUCAUGUGAUAUGUGCGAAUUGGCGCGCAACAGUGUGAUUAUGAGUGGUUUUCCGCAUAAGGUCAAGCAACACUGGCUCGGACCGAAUUACACGCGUGAAGGUGUCGCUGGCAAUGACAUAACACGCACCAAUGUGCCCGACAUACGCGUGGCCUACCGGCAUGAAACGCUGCUCGAUGAGCUGUCGAAUAUCUUCAAGGUGCACGAGAUACCGAAAAGUGAGUAAACCUACCCGGAGACAACCACCAGCGCAGCAGUGCCCAACAACAACACAAACACAUUUGAUACACACAUACAACUGCGUAAGCGAUUGCUUAGCCCGAACAGCUGGUGCCAUGACGGUUGAGCCGACAUCUUCUCAUGAAUUUACCUACAAACAUAUGUAUAAACUCCUUGAGGCUCCUUUUUCUACCACAAUUAUAACUAGGAGAGUGCAAACAACGUUCAACUGCAAGCUGAAGAAGUUGAAAAUGAAGUUGAAAAAGCAAAUCAAAUCGAAGCCGUUAAGUCAUUUUU
rnacentral:misc_RNA from 1 species